rnacentral:rRNA from 1 species
CCUACGGUGGGCAGCAGUGAGGAAUAUUGGUCAAUGGACGAGAGUCUGAACCAGCCAAGCAGCGUGAAGGAUGACUGCCCUAUGGGUUGUAAACUUCUUUUAUAUGGGAAUAAAAUGUUCCACGUGUGGUCUGUUGAAUGUACUAUAUGAAUAAGGAUCGGCUAACUCCGUGCCAGCAGCCGCGGUAAUACGGAGGAUCCGAGCGUUAUCCGGAUUUAUUGGGUUUAAAGGGGGCGUAGGUGGAUUGUUAAGUCAGUUGUGAAAGUUUGCGGCUCAACGGGAGAAUUGCAGUUGAUACUGGUAGUCUUGAGUGCAGUAGAGGUAGGCGGAAUUGAUGGUGUAGCGGUGAAAUGCUUAGAGAUCAUGAAGAACACCGAUUGCGAAGGCAGCUUACUGAUCUGCAACUGACGCUGAGGCUCGAAAGUGUGGGUAGCAAACAGGAUUAGAUACCCCAGUAGUC